rnacentral:piRNA from 1 species
ACUCUAGGUUCCUGGGAGCGAGA